GUGCCAGCAGCCGCGGUAAUACGUAGGUGGCAAGCGUUGUCCGGAAUUAUUGGGCGUAAAGGGCGCGUAGGCGGCAUCCUAAGUCAGAUGUGAAAACCCGAGGCUUAACCUCGGGAUGGCAUUUGAAACUGGGAAGCUCGAGUGCAGGAGAGGAAAGUGGAAUUCCUAGUGUAGCGGUGAAAUGCGUAGAUAUUAGGAGGAACACCAGUGGCGAAGGCGACUUUCUGGACUGUAACUGACGCUGAGGCGCGAAAGCGUGGGGAGCAAACAGGAUUAGAUACCCUGGUAGUCCACGCUGUAAACUAUGGAUACUAGGUGUGGGAGGUAUCGACCCCUUCCGUGCCGCAGCAAACGCAAUAAGUAUCCCGCCUGGGGAGUACGGCCGCAAGGUUGAA
rnacentral:rRNA from 1 species